rnacentral:lncRNA from 1 species
CGGCCCUUGGUUUCUAGGAGAGAUCUUUGCUCUGCACCAUAGAGACUUCUUUCUGCUGCGCUCUUCAGAUGGUCUUCCUAUGGUUACGGGACAGAAGUACUUAAGCCCUCAUCCUCUUCUAACGCCCGGCCUUUCUAAAGUUCUGGGUUACUCUGGGUGGGUGGGUGAGUGAGUGGAAUCCACAGUUGGAGUGUCUCCCACCUGAACAUCGGGGCCGGACCUGCCGGGUGCGUCCCAAGUGAAACCCUAGGCACCUUUAGCUGUCAGUGGAAGUGUUAGGGUUUUCUCCGUCUAGGCUGGCUCUCCGUGCACACUCUGCCUCUGCUGCGGGACUUACUAUGGGAUUGAAUGGGAGUGGAAGAAAGCUUUGCUAACUUUUCACGUCCAACCCACGCCUGCUGCUCCUAGAAGCACCUAGUUCCCAGACAUCUCAACGUGUUUCCCAGCCCGACGGGUAUCCCCAGUAAAUCAAGGAACAGCGACUCACAGAUCGGCUUCUGAGACUCACUUUUCUCCGGUCUUGCUGCGGAAACAAUACGCUCCCUUCACCUUCCCCAUCACCAUUCUUUUCUUCAACUCCAUCACCUCUUACCACACCCAUUCGGUGUAUCUCACUCCCGGAACACAAAAUCCAUUACUAUGCACCCUUAUCCCACACAAUCCUGCACUGUACACCUCUAGAACUAAGGAUACAUUACAUUGCUCUCUAUCCCCUACAACGAAUCCCCCCGGUCCUACACCUUUUUGCUUCCCAUUCCGCACCCUACUUUUCCACUCUAUUGAUGCACGUAUCUUCCUUCAUCCAGUUCCACAGCACAGAUACUGUCCAGCUCCGAGUUCGGACACCGCCCUACACCUUCGCCAAGGCAGCCCGAGCUCCCGCCGCCUGUCGGUCCAAGGAGCAGCAGUUCCAGUCGGUUUCGGCUCCGGGCGUAGGGAGGCCGGCAGGAGAGGGUAUAGAGUCUGAAGGAUAGCCAAAUUUGGGGAUCCUGGACAGCUGGGGCCGGGUUUGCUGGUGGCCUCCCAACAGGACAGUGUAGGGGCAGAGCUCGGGGUUGGGAGAGGGCAGGGAGUAGGGAGAGCACACGCCUCAUUUACCCAGGCUCUCUAACUGAGCCUCGGAACGCCCUGGGAGGCACGGAGGGGAACGGGACGGUCGAUUUUCCGCUAGGGGUAGCUGUUGGCCGAGAGCUGGAGACCUAGGCAGAUGCUUAUCCCCUGAGCUGAGGUUUAGCAUUUGGGCUCCGAUCUCCGGUGGUCGCUGCUUCAGUGGGUCCGGUCCCGAGGUGCUGGGGGCAUGCUCUCGCUCCUUGCCUGGAGUGCCAGCUUUCCCUAAGCUGUCUGUGGGGCGAACAGGUUCUUCUCCCCAGCUCCCCAAGACGCUCCUGCCCUCGUCCUAUGCUUUGGCUUCUGCUCUGGGGGAUCUGCGGGGUGCCCUCCCUCCUCCUCAACGUCGAGGGCCCCGUCAACCUGCCUCCUAGGGUCUGAACUUUGUCUUCCUACACUCGGUUACACUCCAGUCGGGGCGGGGAGGCUG